UGCAGAGCUGGGUCUGGAACCUGGCAGCCCCUGGAUCUGCAGGCAUCAGCCUGAAAACUGUUGCUCUGCAGCUGAAAUCUAAGAAGCCACUGCAGGCAGACAAGAGGCCAAUUCCACACGAGGCAGUGACCUUCCAGGGAGGCUCCCACACUAUCCAGGGGCUGGAUGUUGGUGUUGGGCACCGUGGCUGAGAAAGGACAGAUGGAAAACACUGAAGGUCAAACCUGUGAAGGUCAGACUUUUGGAGAAGCCACCAGAGGGACAGAGAAGUAAACAGGAGCAAAUCAACAGGUCCCUGCCAGCACACAUCACAGGGAUGCACAUGGAUGCGCAGAGAGCAGGGACAUCAGACUGAAGAGCUUGAGACAUUCCCAAAGCAUUCCCUCCCUGGGAGCACCCACCGUGACUCAGGAGGCCUGGUCUGGAGUCCAAUAUUCUCCUUUAAAACAGGCACUGCUGCUUCUGACAUCUUUUCCCCUUUUGGGUUUUUUGGGGCAGAUUUCCCUUUGUGAGCUCCUCUCCAGUGCAAGCCUAGGCUCA